UACGGGGGGAGCAAGCGUUGUUCGGAUUUACUGGGCGUAAAGGGCGCGUAGGCGGUCAGCACAAGUCAGUUGUGAAAUCUCCGAGCUUAACUCGGAAAGGUCAACUGAUACUGUGCGACUAGAGUGCAGAAGGGGCAACUGGAAUUCUCGGUGUAGCGGUGAAAUGCGUAGAUAUCGGGAGGAACACCAGUGGCGAAGGCGGCGAUCUGGGAAGAUACUGACGCUGAGGUGCGAAAGCGUGGGGAGCAAACAGG
rnacentral:rRNA from 1 species